rnacentral:rRNA from 1 species
UGUCUUUUGAGUACCUUCGUUUCCUCGGCGGGUUCGCCCGCCGGUUGGACAACACUUAAACCCUUUGUAAUUGAAAUCAGCGUCUGAAAAAACUUUAAUAGUUACAACUUUCAACAACGGAUCUCUUGGUUCUGGCAUCGAUGAAGAACGCAGCGAAAUGCGAUAAGUAGUGUGAAUUGCAGAAUUCAGUGAAUCAUCGAAUCUUUGAACGCACAUUGCGCCCCUUGGUAUUCCAUGGGGCAUGCCUGUUCGAGCGUCAUUUGUACCUUCAAGCUCUGCUUGGUGUUGGGUGUUUGUCUCGCCUCUGCGCGCAGACUCGCCUCAAAGCAAUUGGCAGCCGGCGUAUUGAUUUCGGAGCGCAGUACAUCUCGCGCUUUGCACUCAUAACGACGACGUCCAAAAAGUACAUUUUUUACACUCUUGACCUCGGAUCAGGUAGGGAUACCCGCUGAACUUAAGCAUAUCAAUAAGCCGGAGGAA